rnacentral:lncRNA from 9 species
UCAGUAGGGCUCAAAAGGAGACCAAGGCUCAGAUGGAGGAAAAACUAUGGAACCUUGCAGAACACCCUCAAGAGAGAGGACUCUGGCAUAAAGACAGCCUGCCCUCUAAAAGACAUCGGCUUUUAUACUCGCUCUUUAUUUAUGACCAGCAACCCAGCUCUCCAGAUGCAAAACACCUGGACUCUAGAAAACUGCAUGUCCAGUACUCCAGCCAGUUGCCUGGGUGCUCUGCGUUCUAAUUCUGGAGAGCCUCACGGCCAGCUGAGCCCACAAGUCCCACCCAAUAAUGUGGGCUUUGGACUAGCUGAGCUGACUGCAGUUGAGUCAGGUAUCUGGAAGGCAGAACUCUUUCCAUUUAUUUAUACAAGGUGGGUCAAUUUGGACUGGAUAGUCAGCCGCAGUGGUUCAGUAACCAAUUUUUGCUGGUCCCCUCCUGGAGGAUCCACCCACACACAUUUCAAACCCCAUCUCUGAGCCUGGAGGUGUCCGUACCAAGCAGCUACCAGGCUUGGCCAGCGCUUUGGCGCCCUCUGGCGGCCAUCAUGUCUAAUGACAGCUCAGAGGCCUGCCUCCUGCCUCCUGAACAGACCCUUGGAUGGACUGCACUGGGCUUGUGCACUGGGUAGCUGAUUUAAUCCCUCCUCUCAUUCUAAAACAACCAUUUUCCUCUCAUAGUCAGCAAAGGGGCUCACGCCUCCCAAUCCUUCCUCUAAGUCGUUGAGCUGAACCCACUCCCAAUCACGUGACCAGAUUUCAAUGAAUCAGCCUCCCCAUCUUCAUUUCUGUCACUUGGGUCGAGGUGAGAUUUUCACCAUCAGGGGUGAAUGAGAGGAGGGGAGAAGCUCAGACGGAAGGAAAAGAAGGAAACUUACAGAAAACCUUCAAGAGAUGAGUCUCUGGGAUGGAUGAACCUGCUGACCAGGGAAACGCUGCUUUUGCACCCUCCAUUCACAGCCACCCACCCAGCUGCCCAGAGGCCACACACUGCGCAAGCCUGUUCUGGGAGCGCUGCAAGCCCAGUAUUCCAUCCCACACCCUUUUGUCUCAGAUGCAGCCUCUGCAGAAUCCAAAGCAGUCAGAACGCUUCACGGACUGUCCAAUCAUCUGGACUUCAGGCUACCUGAGCUGUCAGAAAGUGACCCGCAGCUGGGAAGAGCAGGACAAGGUCCUUCCUAUCAGGAACAACCAAGUGCCUUCCAGGAUGGGGGUAUUUCCCUCUCACAGUCAUCCAUGGCACUCACUCCUCCCUAUCCCUUAGCAUUCCUCUUAGCCUAUGAGCUGAACCCACUCCAAAUCAAGUAACUGGAUUUACAUUAGAUCAGCCUCCCCUCUUAAUUUAUGUGACCUGUCUUGAGCUAAGAUUUUUUCCCUUAGGGGUGAAUGAAAGGGGGGAGAGGCUCAGAUGGAAGAAAUAGAAGGAAAUUUCAAGAGACCAGAGACAAUUUUCAGGAAAUGGGCAACCUUCCCACCAAG